ensembl:lncRNA
UGCUGAUUUCAGAUGAAAGGGGAAAUUAAUUUUGUUUCACCAACGACUUCAAAAUAUAAAAUCUUGAUCUUUCUGUUGUUGUUACUCCUACUUUUUAAGAAGCAACAAAAAAAUGGAAUUCUCCAUUUUCUCUCAAAGCUCCAAAGACUUCUGAAAACUACUUCUGAUUUUGAGUGGCAGAGGAGUAAAAAGACCCCUAAACAUGAGGAGAAAGAAGAAUCCGUAGGGCUCUGCUGUCCACGUGGGAUGAGAUUCCAAAAGCACCAUUCUUGUUCAAUCUCCCUCAGAGUCACACAGCCCCAAAGUGCUCAGUAUGAUUCAGAGGCACUGAAAUCUCCCAAAGAAUAAAUAAUAAUAAUAAACCCCAGGUAUGUGGCGCUUUCCACGUUUUGCAGCUGCUGUUUAAUCACGAAGUUUUCCCUUAAAGCCGAGCCCACAGUGAAUUCUCUCCCCGACUCGAUCUCAGCGCCAAUUCCGUCUCUGGCCAGUAGAUGGCACCAUGCAUUCAUUGUACAGGAUGGAGGCCAGAAAGAAGUGAAAUUUCAUCCCAUCAAAAGAGCAUACACCCAAUCUGACACACAAAGGUCAGGAAUUAAAUUCGGAGGGUGCACCUUUCUCCUCGUGUCACCCUUCCAAAAAAAUAAAGGCCGUGGAGCAUGCUGUGCUAUACACUGAGACGCUAUCAGCAGCUGCACCUAACGCGUCCCCAGCUCGCCCUGUCACUGACCUACAUUGCCUUGUGACUUCUUGUGAGAUUAAAACCAAAAAGAUAACCUUUUCUCCAUCCUCCCUAGCUCUGAACAGCGGCACCACCAGAGCAGGUCUCCCCUCCGCUGGAAGAAGUCAGGAACGACCACCUGUGAGUGCAGAGGCCAGGAGGCAGGGCUGGAGAUCCGGCCCCACCGGUUGACCUCACCUGGGGCUUCUGCUCCGUGGACAAAGCCCCAUUAGCUCUGAUACUGCAGCAUUCCAUGAGCUAACCACAGCUUGUUGGCAAGCUGACUACAAAGAGGUGGAGGAAAGUUUACAAGCCACUUUCUGCUGUGCAAACUGCGACACUUCUACCUGGAAUUGUAGAGGCAGCCCCUACCAUGUUGUUCAGCAGUGCCCUUGAACUCCAAGGAGCGUGACAUGAGGCCAGCCAUUGCCACAGCAGCAUCUGCCUGCCAGGAGGCAAGCUGUGCUCAGAGGAGCAGCUCAGCCCACCUGGCUGUCCCCCUUUGCUCCUGGCCCAGCCAAGCUCACCCUAACCAGAGCCAUGGGACAACUGGUUUGGCAGCAGCACUUGCCUGGCACCUCCUUGUGCCCAUCCUGCUGCUGUACGGCUGUCCUGGCAGGUGCUCAGCAUAGAGAAGUGUGCACAGGAGCACGCAAGAGACACGCAAGGUGUGCUCAGCCCCAUCAAAAAUCUACUGCCUCGAAUGUGGGCUUUCUGUGCCCAUACGUAUGAAUGGGUAGCCAUGACUGACCUCACCGUAAGCACUGCUGAGCAGCUGAGAAAUUCACUGGACAAACAUAAACACACUAUGCAUGGUUUUCGAGCAGUAUUUCGCUGGAAGAAAACAAGGCCAAGCUAAUCAGGUCUUUAUUGCAAUUUAGUGAUUAUCUCUAAAGAUCAAUAACACAGCUCUUCUACCAAACCCACACCUCUCCCCUUCACUCACCAUUUGAAACUGCAUUGCUUCACAGGACUCCACGAGGCACAAUGGGGAAAGAAGCCAGCUGGCAGCAGACCCAAACGUGAGUGCAUCCCACUAUUCACAGAAGAUGGGAACAAAUGUGCAUGCAUCCACUGUACAAUAGAAAUAAUCUUCAAAGUUUGACCGGGCUGUAGCACAGCCAGAGGUUGGAAUGACACUCACAUGACUGUAGGACUUACAGCACAGAGACAGGUGAGAAAGAAUGAAGACACAUUUGAAUGAACUUCCUCUGAAGCCCCAGAGGAAGAUUCCUCUUUUGUCACAACACGUUACAAUGCUGCAGAGAUGCACUAUGGUGGCAGGACGUCUCAGAUGUCCUCAGAUCAGUAUCUCAUCCCUGCUAGGUGAGUGGGACACACAGGGAGUCUACCACCUGGUUUAAACCUCCUUAAAACAUAUUUGCUGAUAGGUGGUUCUAUCUCUAAAUUCACGCUGUGUACUGAAAGACUCACCACCACCUAGGAGUUGUGCUGAUGCUCUGGGACAUGGUGGGCUGCUGCAGUCCCACACAGUCACAGGACUGUGGGAGCCCACGUGUUUCUGGAGACUCUAACCCAGCACGUGCCACAGCUCCCCCCUCCUGGUAAAGACCACAAGCAAUACAAAGGCUAAACAGAUAACAGCUUGACAUAAGCAAGAGAAAGACGGUAGCCUUUGAAACCCAGCACGCAAGGAAGGGAAAAAAAUCUAGUGCUCCCAAGGUAGUGGUGUGAGACAAUUCAGUUUAAACACCAGCAAUCUGCCAUGAAACUCCAGAGUACACCUCAGGAUGCUAUUUUUCCCCUUAGCGUUUUUGCAUAACAGAAAGAGUAAAUCAUAUUUAACAGAAAACAGAAGUUUGUGUCCUUCUCCCCAUAACCAGGACAGUCCAUGUGGUCCUGGAGGCCAGAAGAAGCCACAUGUCCCCUUGGUGCUGCUGAGAAGAGCAGCACCAUGCUCACCAUUGACACAUGCAAAUAUGGAGACAGGAAAGGAAACACGUGCCUGAUGGAAAAGGAUGAAGUGAUAAAGUGAGGUGGAAAUGCAAAAGCACAGUUCACUAGAUCAGACUUAGUAGAUAACAUUACGAACAGGUAUUUGUAUUAUAUACUUGUACGCAUAUAAAAUCCAGAAGCAUCCUGAGGCGGAUGCCUUCUCCCUGGAAGGCCAGGUUGGAUGAGGAAUUGAGCAAUCAUAUCUACUGGAAGGUGUCCCUGCCCAUGGCAGGAGGGUUGGAAUGUAAUGGUAUUUAAGGUCCAUUUGAACUCAAAUCAUUGUAUGACUCUAUUACCUUAACUUUCAACUCACGUUCCUUCAAGAAGAUAGAACAAUUGACUGAUUUCCAUCCAUACGGCUCUUCAUGAAGCACUAAUAACAAAAAAAACCACUGGGAACAUCUCAAAAAGGAACAGAGUUAAAUAAACACUAAAAUGGAGAUACCCAAUGACACUGCUUGUGUGCUACCCAUCUAACACUAGGAGUUGUACACUACAAUGAUGGCCUAAGAUCCUGGGAUUCUCUGAACUUUUGAGCCAGAACUUUAUCCAAUAAGAACAGUUGGAGCAUUGCAGUUAAAAAAGACAUUUCUACUUUAGUUCAUUGGUCAGUAUAACAGUCAGUGCCCUCUGCAUUAUCAAACAUUUGCAUUUUAACACAAGAAAUCAUCAGUAUCCUGAAAUGUUAGUUAGAAUCUCUCUCAGCUAUUCACAGCUUAAUAACAUACAGAUGACACGUGCUGCAAAUGUUCAUUCUGCAUCAUCAAAUGAUCAAUUCAUGACCUUGCAGAUACUACAAAAUGCACACAAAUCUCGUGAACAACAACAACAAAAAUCCACAGUUCAUUUUUUA